GAUCUCCUGGCCAGGCCUGUGUGGGACACCCACCUCCCAUUGGUCCCACAGCCCUACCCUGCUGGGCCCGAGCAUCCCAUCCCUCCUGCGGUCCGGUCCAGGGGGGCUGACCCAUCUCUGCUCCGGUCCCCAGGCUGUGGGAAGCGAGCAGGGCUGCUGGCGAAGGAAGAGGAGCUCCCUGAGUCAGAGACGCCCAGCACAGAGAGUCAGGGUGUGCGGAUGGGCCCUGUCCCUGAGGGGCUGCAGCAAAGCCCCCCCAGCAAGGACGUGGCGCCCCUGGUGAACGGCGUGCAGCCCGGCAAGCACGAGAACGGCUUCCCCGGCAAGGAGGUGGGCCAGGGCGUGCUGGAGCUCUCACAGCACAGUGGCAGCACCGACCCCAUCAUCCCCUUCGGGGACAAGGAGCCCUUCCUCAAGACGGCCGUCGUCAAGCCCCCCCAGGUCACAGAAGUGCUGUGAGGGGCAGGUGCGUCUCCCUGGGCAGAGCGCCCCCUGGUGGCCCGCGCCGUGGCUGCCUCGGUGCGGGGCGAGGCGAAGUGCCAGUUCCGGACUUUCUCACAGAACUAUAGCUGUUACCAGACGAAAAACCACGUCACUCCCACCUACCGCCCCAGGAAGAGGAUGAACCGGGCAGGGCAGGGGGCCGGGACGUGCCCCCCCCCGCCAGCCCCAGGGACUCUUGGUUUC
rnacentral:lncRNA from 1 species